UGGGGAAUAUUGGACAAUGGGCGAAAGCCUGAUCCAGCCAUGCCGCGUGUGUGAAGAAGGUCUUCGGAUUGUAAAGCACUUUAAGUUGGGAGGAAGGGCACUAACCUAAUACGUUAGUGUUUUGACGUUACCGACAGAAUAAGCACCGGCUAACUCUGUGCCAGCAGCCGCGGUAAUACAGAGGGUGCAAGCGUUAAUCGGAAUUACUGGGCGUAAAGCGCGCGUAGGUGGUUUGUUAAGUUGGAUGUGAAAUCCCCGGGCUCAACCUGGGAACUGCAUUCAAAACUGACUGACUAGAGUAUGGUAGAGGGUGGUGGAAUUUCCUGUGUAGCGGUGAAAUGCGUAGAUAUAGGAAGGAACACCAGUGGCGAAGGCGACCACCUGGACUAAUACUGACACUGAGGUGCGAAAGCGUCGGGAGCAAACA
rnacentral:rRNA from 1 species